rnacentral:tRNA from 1 species
CGGGGCGUAGCGCAGUCUGGCAGCGCACCUGCUUUGGGAGCAGGGGGUCGGAGGUUCGAAUCCUCUCGCCCCGA